rnacentral:lncRNA from 1 species
CAUAUAUAUAAUAUUUUUGAGUAGAAAAACCAACCAUGAUUUUUUAUAUUUUUCUCAUUGCAGAUCAAUAUUCAAAGAUAUAUAAUCAGCAAGGAAUUGUCUUUAUCAGUCAGUAAAGUACCGUGUGUCACCCAUUGUAAGGACCUAAUGCCAUGUUGAAGUAUUGCAGGACAGUAAAAGAGAUAUCUGAUGCUGCAUCAUUGUUGUGGGAGAAGAGCACUACUUGCUUAGAAAGACAGGUACAGCAACCUCCACCGCUCCUUUGCUUCUGCAUUUCAGAGGUCCUCCAGCUAUUCCAAGAAUCCCACUGCAAGAUGCACAGAUGA